ACAGAAGAGCUUGCUCUUUGGGUGGCGAGUGGCGGACGGGUGAGUAAUGUCUGGGAAACUGCCCGAUGGUGGGGGAUAACUACUGGAAACGGUAGCUAAUACCGCAUAACGUCGCGAGACCAAAGUGGGGGACCUUCGGGCCUCACACCAUCGGAUGUGCCCAGAUGGGAUUAGCUAGUAGGUGGGGUAAUGGCUCACCUAGGCGACGAUCCCUAGCUGGUCUGAGAGGAUGACCAGCCACACUGGAACUGAGACACGGUCCAGACUCCUACGGGAGGCAGCAGUGGGGAAUAUUGCACAAUGGGCGCAAGCCUGAUGCAGCCAUGCCGCGUGUAUGAAGAAGGCCUUCGGGUCGUAAAGUACUUUCAGCGGGGAGGAAGGCGGUGAGGUUAAUAACCUUGCCGAUUGACGUUACCCGCAGAAGAAGCACCGGCUAACUCCGUGCCAGCAGCCACGGUAAUACGGAGGGUGCAAGCGUUAAUCGGAAUUACUGGGCGUAAAGCGCACGCAGGCGGUCUGUUAAGUCAGAUGUGAAAUCCCCGGGCUUAACCUGGGAACUGCAUUUGAAACUGGCAGGCUUGAGUCUCGUAGAGGGGGGUAGAAUUCCAGGUGUAGCGGUGAAAUGCGUAGAGAUCUGGAGGAAUACCGGUGGCGAAGGCGGCCCCCUGGACGAAGACUGACGCUCAGGUGCGAAAGCGUGGGGAGCAAACAGGAUUAGAUACCCUGGUAGUCCACGCCGUAAACGAUGUCGACUUGGAGGUUGUGCCCUUGAGGCGUGGCUUCCGGAGCU
rnacentral:rRNA from 1 species